ensembl:lncRNA
CUCAGUCUCUCUACAGUGAAUCAGUCACUCUUUAGGAGUGUUGUGGUGUACCUCAGUCUCUCUACAGUGAAUCAGUCACUCUUUAGGAGCAUUGUGAAUCAGCUCACCUCAUUUGUAUGAAUCCAUCUGCCUCUUCCCGAAAAGGCGAGAGACGGAGAGAGAGAGACAGAGAGAGAGACAGAAAAAGACAGAGGGAGAGAGAGACAGAGAGAUACAGAGAGAGAGGCAGAGAGAGAGAGAGAGAGAGAGACAGAGAGAUACAGAGAGAGAGGCAGAGAGAGAGAGAGAGAGAGAGAGACAGAGAGAGAGAGAGAGAGAGAGAGGAGAGAGAGAGACAGAGAGAUACAGAGAGAGAGGCAGAGAGAGAGAGAGAGAGAGAGAGAUACAGAGAGAGAGAGAGAGAGAGAGAGAGAGAGACAGAGAGAUACAGAGAGAGAGGCAGAGAGAGAGAGAGAUAGAGAGAGGGAGGGAGAGAGAGACAGAGAGAGAGAGAUAGAGAGAGGGAGGGAGAGAGAGACAGAGAGAUACAGAGAGAGAGGCAGAGAGAGACAGAGAGAUACAGAGAGAGAGGCAGAGAGAGAGAGAGAUAGAGAGAGGGAGGGAGAGAGAGACAGAGAGUGAGAGACAGAUUGAGAGACAGAGAGACAGACAGAGAGAGACAGACAGACAGAGAGACAGACAUAGAAAGAGACAGGAAGAGACAGGGAGAAACAGAGAGAGACAGUGAGAGAGACAGACAGAGAAAGAGACAGGGAGAAACAGAAAGAGACAGACAGAGAAAGAGACAGGAAGAGACAGAGAGACAGACAGAGAGAGACAGACAGAGAGACAGAGAGAGACAGACAGAGAGACAGACAGAGAAAGAGACAGGGAGAAACAGAGAGAGACAGACAGAGAAAGAGACAGGGAGAAACAGAGAGAGACAGACAGAGAGAGACAGACGGAGAAAGAGACAGAGAAAGAGACAGGGAGAAACAGAGAGAGACAGACAGAGAGACAGACAGAGAAAGAGACAGGAAGAGACAGGGAGAAACAGAGAGAGACAGACAGAGAAAGAGACAGGGAGAAACAGAGAGAGAGACAGACAGAGAGAGACAGACGGAGACAGAGAAAGAGACAGGGAGAAACAGAGAGAGACAGACAGAGAAAGAGACAGGAAGAGACAGGGAGAAACAGAGAGAGACAGACAGAGAGACAGACAGAGAAAGAGACAGGAAGAGACAGAGAGAGAGAGACGCUACGAAAGGUUUGCGUUGCUCAACGACCCCCGCCUCGACGAUCACUGUGACAAAAGACAAACAAGAUGGAGGCGUUCUGAUCACAUCUCACCUCUAGCGCUGGAUGCUAACAUGGAAGGCCAAAGUGACUGGGGUUGAUGGAUCGGCUGACUAGCGUUAGCGUGUAGCGGGAUCCAGUCAAACCCCUCUGUGUUUCUGUAACUGUGGCCCAGAUGUGAUGCCUGUGACACGGUCUCCAGGUUCCCAGAUGUGAUGCCUGUGACACGGUCGCCAGGUUCCCAGAUUUCUUUGCUUGGUCAAAUCCUCUCUGGUCACUAGUUGGCAUGACAACGACCGUAGGGUUUGCUAAUACAACACAAACUGAUCUGGGACCAGGCUAGUUGGAAUGACAACGACUGUAGGGUUUGGUAAUACAACACAAACUGAUCUGGGACCAGGCUAGUUGGAAUGACAACGACCGUAGGGUUUGGUAAUACAACACAAACUGAUCUGGGACCAGGCUAGUUGGAAUGACAACAGCCGUAGGGUUUGGUAAUACAACACAAACUGAUCUGGGACCAGGCUAGUUGGAAUGACAACGACCGUAGGGUUUGGUGAAACAACACAAACUGAUCUGGGACCAGGCUAGUUGGAAUGACAACGGCCGUAGGGUUUGGUAAUACAACACAAACUGAUCUGGGACCAGUCUAUCUCUGCUUUAGAUCGGGUUUAGAUCAGAGGGGUGUGUGUGAAUGGGACCAGGCCUUUUCACUUCAGGUUACCCAGGCACCCCUCCUGCGUGUGUAUGUGAAGCAGGUUGGCGGCGUAGAGGAGAGGAGCGAUGUGCUCUGCUUUCUGCCCGUUGCUAG